CUCAGUUGAUUCCAAGCUACUUGAAAGCUUAUUCUGAAUUAUAGUGAUGAUAGGACAGAGAGAUGUCAGAGCAAAAUAUUUGUAGGUACUCAGCUUCCUAGAGUAAGUAGGUCCUCCUAAAAAGUUUUUGCUUUCUUGGUUCAGACAAAAUAGGGUUAAGAAAUACUGAAAACUGCAGCCAAUUCAAUUAGAGUAGCCUACAGUAUAGCUGGUGGGUGUGCACGCGCACCCUUUUUUCUGGGUUCUCCUUUGAAGAGUCAUUUCCAUGAGAGCAAAAGCAUCUUCUCCUGCCCUCACCUUAUUUCCAGCAAUCACCCAUGGAGGCCCCUUGGCCUGCAUUACCUCAGCAAUGAGCAGGAAGAUCAGCGCUGAAGGAGUAACUGGCACCAGUCCUACAAGAUGAGAGUAGGAAGAUAUGGAGAUGGAGAACCUGAGUGAAUCCCAGAACAGGAGCUAAGUCAUCCUGGAUAAUAACAAAAACCACUGGUACACAGCAAUCCCUGGGUGUGAAGAUUCUUACUAUCUUCAUUUACAAAGAGGAAGCAAAGUCUUAAAAAGGGUAAAUGACUUUUCCAGAAUUACCCAAAGCUACAAAGUUCAAAAGCUGAAAUUCCAUCACAGAUUGAUAUGACCCCAAAGUUAUUUUCCUUCCUCUGCAUCAACUUCCCAAUUUUCUCUCUACUGUUCUUCAACGUCUGCUUAGAAUUCCCUUUAUUUGAUUCUCUUCCUAGUCCUCCUCUUUGUAAUAUUAGAUUUUAUACAUUCUCUUGGCUUCAGGGCCUAGAAAUUCUAGGGAUUUUCAGUCUUGGCUGUGCAUUGCAGUCUCUUGGAGAUUUAAAGCUAUACCUGUGCCCUAAACUCACCACCCAAACACUGUCUUAAUUUGUCCAAGAUGGAGACUACGAAUAAAUAUUUUUCAA